CUCAAUUUAUUAUUUUUCUUUUUUAUAUGUCUGAGUUAAUUUAUCAUUUUUAUUUAUUUAUUCAUUCAGGAGCACACAAUAAUGACUAGGUUCACUCUGUGAUCAUGCAAGAAGUUAAUUACUUUCAACGCAAAAAUUAUAUAAACUGAAAAUCAUAUGUGUUUCGUUUAGGUUGGACUUGAGAGGAGAAAAUGGUGGUAUUUUUUUU
rnacentral:lncRNA from 1 species